UUAGAAACAGCCAACCAGGUUGUGACACGUGGCAAUCAGGUGACAUGCCCCUAAUCCCCAGUCUGCUCAUCAGGAUUUACUUUGCUUGACCACUACCCAUCUUUUCUGUGAAAAAGGAUGGAUGUGACACAUUUCUGACUGUCACUGCACAUUUCCCCCGAUGCCUACAGCUAUUUAUUUGCCAUCCUCCUAGAGACGGCUACAGUGUGUUGUACCUCGUUGCAGAAUGAUCUGCCACAGAACAACCCCCAAAGAAUCCUCCAAAUGAAUAAGGCCGUUACACAUAGUUGUGCAAUUUGAGUAUGAGACCCUAAACUCUUCCGCCGGAGUCCAUCUUACAAGCCAAAAUUAGAAGGGAUACAUUCAGUCAUAGACACCAGACACCAGAUGAAGCUGUGGCACUCGUUUUCAACACAACCUCUGCUGGACUCCUGCAAACAUGGAGGUCAUGCAUACUCUAUGCUGGAUUCAGACCUGCCGGAUUUUCCUGCUGCCAGACAAAGCAAGGAAAUCAAACAGCUGUUGUUCCCAUCUACAGAUGUCCGCUUCAUCUACACAGGGGAUCAGGCCCCGGGCAUCAUGGGUAAGAUGCGCUAGCCAAACUGGCUCUACUGUAGGUAUCCAGGUUUGUUCUGUGAGUAGCUCUUCAGGGCUAAGGUGGAAAUGGAUGAUUUACACCCCCUCUUUGUAGGCCUGUGUGACAGGCAGCCAUGAAGGGACAUUCCAUCGCCCCUGCAGGAGCUCUGACACGAGAAGCACGGCAACACCGCAGCCUUUUAAUCUCACCGACAGGAGGAAGUUAGCCAUGUACCUCAUAGCUGUGGAAGUGCUUCUGAUCCACCAAUUACUGAACCAAACAGCACAAGGCUUGCGUUAUAAAAUUUCUCGUACAGACGUUUCAAAAGUUUUAAGAAACCCGAGAAAUUGAAGAUGCGAUUGGUUUACAGCGUGUGUUGCGCGGUACAUAAAUCUGCCUUGUAUAUUGAGAGGCUCAUUUAAACCCUGCUAAUUCCUUCUCUCUUUUUCAAUAGCAUCAGCCUGCUUUGUGUUCCAAGGCAAACGGCAGAAAUGCCAUUUACACUCAGCAGGCGGACUUUAAAUCAAAGCACAGCCCAUCCAGCGGCAUGUAUCUUGUCAGCUUUCAUCAGAACAAACCACAUCAUAAAUCUUCUCUCCCUCCACCUAGCCAGAGAUGGUGGGCAGAGCUGAGGAGAGCUGAGGAGUGGCAGCAGACUGAGCAGUUUAAUGUUGCAGAGAUGCAGUGGGCUGAGUGGCUUCAUGCUACGGAGAGGCAGCGGGCUCUGGAGAGGCAACAUAUGGCGGGAUUGCAGCAGGCUCAGGAGAAACGCAGUGUGGUGGCUCCGCAGAAGUGGCAUGUGGUGGCACUGCAGUGGGCUCCGGUGGACCAGGAGUCUCGGGCUGCAGGGGCCUGACAAGAUGGGGUCCAGCUGCAUGGGGUCUGACGAGAUGGAAGAUGCAAGCACAGCCAACGUCUUCUGCUUCUUCCUUCUUUGGCCUGAUUGGGGAGCUGCAGAGAGUUGGCGGGCGGAGUGGCCUCUCACUUAUUAGCUGCUGCAUCUCCCCUCCCUGGACCUUCUCUGCCUCCUGAAGAUCCGUGCCUGGGGUGAGCCCUGCCAGUAUCUCCCCACCAGCAAGAAGAGUGCUCUGGCCUCGGGCACCUUCCACAUGGUGGAAUUUUACUUCCACUCCAGGUGGGCGUUCAGGUUGGAGAAGAAGUUCUUGGCUUGCAGGCAGGGUGACUCCAGAGGGAUCAGCGUUGACUCUGGGGAACCAGGAGUUCGAGAUGUAAUCAGCUUGGGCAGAGCUUCCUCUGAUCUCCUUCCUAAGCGAAGUAACCCAUUUAUAGUUGGCAGUGGCAAGGCAAUCUGCACGGUGAGUGGUUUAGCUAAUUCAUCGGGAUCAUUGGGCACCUCCAGAUCACUGUCACUCUUCGAGUCUAUCAGGGGAUUGUCCAUGAACCCCUGAGGUCAGCAGACUAGAACCUCAGGCUGGGAGAGGAGGCUGGGGUGCAGAGGAAAUAGUGUGGGCAGAGAUGCAGAAUGUAAGGGGCUCCUGGGGAUAGCUGCUUGGCAAUUUGUGGAGUCCGGUCAUUCUGUCGUGUCUUAAGGAAUGAAGGACUUGAGGGCAGGUGUUGUGCUGAAACAAAACAGUAUGAACAGCAAAUGGAAACUUACAGGACUUCGAGGGAUCACAAAUGGAUGGACUGGCAACCAAGAUGGGCACAGGCAACAAGAAGCAUCAAUGGACUAAUGAGACAAAGAGGUACUUAAAUGCAAGGACUAAUGAGGGGUAACAAGCACCAGAUGUGGCUCAUCGAAGCCAUGGUAGGGAGGAGACAAGAGGUCUGUUAGGAUCAUGGUGGCAGUAAGAUCCAUGGGAUAGGAAUCAUCCUGAAGAGCCAAAUUGGAGGAGCCAUAGAAGAGUGAGACCUUAGAUGUCCUCUCUGGUGGCUUGGCCAGUAUCCCCGUUCUGAGAUGACCUGACAUGAAGACCUCGUGCAGCCUACCAGAUCUGAAGGAAACGAUUAUAAGCUGUCAGACUGGGCUACUAACCAUAAGCAAGGUCUAAUCGAGAUGUGAAAUCAUAGGACCGGAAGACGGGCUGGUGCCAAACAUUCUUUGGAUAUUUCUGAGGUGAAGAACCUUCCGGAACAUAGCACGGUGGGCGGCUUGAGUUACGUCCACUUCCCUGUCAGCAGAAAUGAUCCCAACGGCAGUGGCCCUGCUAAAACUGGUGGUGCCACAAGCCAGUGUGAGCGCUAAUGCUGAGCCAGGGGGUCGUCUUACAGUGGACAUGGUGUCAGUGGACGAGGUGUCAGUCAGAGACCACAAGUGUGAGACCCAUUCUUUCCAAUGCCAAGGGCAACUAAUGUGUUCCCUCCUCAACAAGCAUUAUGGGAUUUCUGUAGGACUUAGCAAGUUAGUUACUGAAAAAAAACAUACCUCAUGUUCCCAUUAUUAAUGGUACUUGAGCUGGCAAAAUCCACUGCCUAUUUUUUCAGAUGUGUUUAUAUACCACAGCUAAAUGCUGUAUAAACAUCCAUCCAUUUAGCAUAUAGGUUAUGCCAACAGACACCUACUGCAGCCACGAUCCCCAGAACAACUAUCAUCUGAACAUACCGUAAAAAGGGUUAUGUUUUAAAAGUAACUUAAGAUAUGUAAAAUAUGUAUACCGCAAUUCAUGUGCAUGAAGUUUAAUAUUUCUACAGGCUGAGUGAGUGUAGCCACAUUUAUUCAUAUUGGUUCAUUCUACUUGUACCAUUUCCCAGUAUUGCUAUAUACUUCAGUUUGGCUUAGAAGCAUCCCCUAGUAAUGUACAUUAGAUUGUCAAUGGUGCCCCGUGAAAAGCACAAUCCCACUUCCACUGUAAUAGCUAACUUAUUUUGAUUUUUCAACAAAGGUGCUGUGUUUGUUCUUUCCCUGGCUUCUUCCAUCUGUUCCCCAAAAAGGAAAAUUCAAACUCGGGCAUCGUUAGAGAUGUUGGGCCUCAUGAAACGAUAUUAUAUUGGGUCCACAGCCCAGACCAAUCCAGUUAUGUUCCAGAUGUUUAGAGCCCCUUUCACCCUGGAAUCAGGAUAACUUUCCCCUCCAGUAACACUUUACUUGACGGGGCACACAUACUUAGUAAUAACUCAGUUAUUACUGAAGUACAAAUCCUGAACAAAUAUAGUUGCUACUUGAGAUAAGAGAUGCUUCACAAUUAAUUGAUGAUGAACAGACAUGAGAUCAGUAUUUCACUUGUGUUAUAUAAAAAGAAAACUGCGUUAUAACUUGUUUAAAAUGGUCUAUUAAUAAUUUAUAAACUGUUACAACCUAAUUCAUAACCUGUUUAUAAACCAUUCCUAAACCCUUUAUAUGGGUAGCCUUAUUGUAAAGCGGCACUGUAGUUCCUUCACUAGUUCCUUCAACAGUUUAUAGAAUUAACAGAUAUAGUGACAUAAUAACUGCUUGAGAUGAAAGAUGCAUCAUGAUUCAUUAAUGAUGAACAAAUAUGAGAUCAGUGUUUAACUUGUGUUAUUCAUGACUUGCCCCUUCAGAUGUUCCUUCAGUAGAUCAGGAUGUAGUAACAAAUAUAGUAACUGCUUUAGACAAACCAUGUGUCACGAUUCAUUAAUGAUGAAUUAAUAUGACAUAAGUAUGUAACUAAGACAUAGCUUGUGGUUAAUUAAUACACAAGUAAUAGCACAAUACUAUAUUAUUUGUGCCCCCUCAAGUAAAGUGUUACCUUCCCCACUGUUGCAGUGCCAAUGUUAAAAUAUGAUUUAUAUUAAUGAAAGACAUUUCAUUACAGUACAGCUGUUUGCUUAAGAUACUCUCAUUUAGUUAUUUGACUUUAUUCACUUUUGAGGAAUGCAAUAUACAUAUUCUGUAACAAAACACCAGGUCUCCACUCUAUUUGUGCAGUUAUAAUGACCCGUAAAGGUAGCACAAUAGCUUUAAUACAGUUUUCUGUGGGUUUAUUGAUUUUUCUGGGGGUUGAACAUCAACUGUUAGAAGUAUUGUCAUAGAAACACCAUAAUAAGUGUUUAAUGUACCGGCUGUAAGUCAAGGAACACAGAUCAGUGGGGGAAGGCAGCUUUCAGCAGUCAGUGACCUGUGUGUCGGAGUUGUGUUACCAGUAAGGCCUGGGAUCCCUGGCACCACUGGCCUCCUGCUGGGAGGAUGCUGUACUGGCCGAAACCUGGGCUUUUCACGAAGGCCUGCUUUCUUGAUCCGUGGCAGGCCUGGGAACAGUGACAGCUUAGCACAGAAAUGCAUUGCGGCUAAUACAUUAAUAAGAAGGAGUUGUGACCUCUGACCCUCAGCGAUAUACAUCGUCAACCACCAUAUACUCAGGGCCUGCUGUAUAUUAUGCUACCUUAUAUGGGGGCAGUAUCCCCAGGUGACCCCUCUCCCAUUUUCAUUGGUUCUGAGCAGGGUAAUCACUGAGGGGGUGUGGCUUGGGACAGGGAUGUGUUCCCAGGCCCUAGACUGCAGGGGGCCAGAAUCUACCGAUCGACCAAGGGGGACUCAACCCCCCACUCGGCAAAAUCUACUGAAAAAGUCCAAGGCGACAUUUUGUCAGGAGGCUUAGAAUUCCUUGGAAAAAUUCCUUGAGUGCUGUUGCUCCUACUAUGAUUAAUUAUUGUAUAAUUUAAGAAAAUAUGGGGUUUGUUUGCUUAGUAGAAAGAACUCAGUGACAGUAUUCAUUUUUUUU